rnacentral:lncRNA from 10 species
UAAUAUUGCAGGUAGGAGAUCAUGAGCCUCGGUGGCUUGAGUGGACAUGGAAAGAGGGAAAUGUGUAAUGUGAAGUUAACCUCAAUGUGAUGUGCCAAGGGCAUGUGAAAUCACAAGGAGAAAGUGCAGUAUUUACUGAGUGAGCAGCUAUUCCAGUCAAUGGUAAGUGAUUUUUUUUUUUUUUUUUUUUGACGGAAUCCGGCUCUGUCGCCCAGGCUGGAAUGCAGUGGCGCAAUCUCGGCUCACUACAACCUCCGCCUCCCGAGUUACUCUGGAGACUGAGGUGGAAGGAUCACUUGAGCCCAGGAAGUUGGUGGCUGCAGUGAGCCAAGACGGCACCACUGCACCCCAGCCUGGGUGACAGAGUGAGACCCUGUCUCAAGAAUAACAAACAGAUAAACAAAAAAUCCAGCAUGAGUGUAUUAUGGAGUAGAAUGCAACAUUUCUUUUUAUCGAAAACAAGACUUCAAAGAUAGGCCCUGCACAUUGCAGUCAUUUGCGGCCACACUUGUAGAUCCUUCAAAUUACGGAAUCAUCUUUACUGUCCUAA